rnacentral:lncRNA from 1 species
GGAGCACUUUUCGGCCGCCAAACGAGGUAAAAAUUCUUCCCUUGGCUCAGAAUUCGAUUCUAAACCCACAUGUAGCCAAAUUGGAGCCAAAACACCGGCCAAUUGGCUAAAAAACGUCGCCGAAGCCCAGCGGCACCGCCACAGAUUUUCUCGAUUUUUGCCUCCGAUGAGGCCCUUCCCGAUUCCCGUUUGAUAUAAUUUUU